CCUACGGGAGGCUGCAGUGAGGAAUAUUGGUCAAUGGACGAGAGUCUGAACCAGCCAAGUAGCGUGAAGGAGGACUGUCCAGUGGGUCGUAAACCUCUUUUAUAAGGGAAUAAAACGAGGCACGUGUCCCUUUUUGCGUGUACCUUAUGAAUAAGGAUCGGCUAACUCCGUGCCAGCAGCCGCGGUAAUACGGAGCAUCCGAGCGUUAUCCGGAUUUAUUGGGUUUAAAGGGAGCGUAGGUGGGUUGUUAAGUCAGUUGUGAAAGGUUGGGGCUCAACCGUAAAAUUGCCAUUGAUACUGGCAGGCUGGAGUACAGUUGAGGUAGGCGGAAGGCGUGGUGUAGCGGUGAAAUGCUUAGAUAUCGCGCAGAACCCCGAUUGCGAAGGCAGCAUGCUA
rnacentral:rRNA from 1 species